rnacentral:hammerhead_ribozyme from 1 species
AUUCAGCUGACAAGUCCCAAAUAAAACGAUACAUACUUCCUGGAU